rnacentral:lncRNA from 1 species
CACGAUAAUUAUAAGAAAUGUGAUUAGAAUAUGCGUAUAAUAAUAAUAGUGUCCAUGAGAGAACCUCAAGAUGCCGAGUAAAUCCCCUCAGUGCCACUUUGAUUAAUAAAAUUUCCCCUGUUUCCCAAUUUCUUUUUCAAAAUAAUGAAUAACACUCAUAAGACAGAUUUAAUUUUUAUUUUUCUUAUAAAAGUCUUACCCAUGCAUCAAAAAAGAGUCAUCCCUUGUACAUUAGUAUUUUUUAUCGUCGUCUCCGGCACAGAUCAAUAAUACUAGUUAUCAUUUGAAACAAUGAUAAACGAUCUGAAACCCACUUAGGUUGGUGCAUUGGUAUUGGCUUGGGACCUGGGAGUGUGCUCCUCUNNNNNNNNNNNNNNNNNCGCCAAUUUGAGUGGGCUAAUUUAGCUUCUUCAAAAAAAAAUGAUAAACGAUCUGCUGUAUAGAUCACAUGUUACUUUACUGAUGUUUAUAAUUCCCAUCACUUGCUUCCAAAGUACUGUUAUAUCUGAAUAUUUAUGAACGAAUAUGUUUUGCUGUUCUUUUAUUUUAUAGAUCGGUUGGUAUAGUAUUCUUAGAAUUUAGUAUUGGGCCUAACUCAUCAUUACAAAACCAGCUUGUAAGGUGAGGAUUGCCUCUAGUAUAUAAACACUUAGUCAGGCCAUAUCGCAACCGAUGUGG